rnacentral:rRNA from 1 species
GACGAACGCUGGCGGCGUGCCUAAUACAUGCAAGUAGGACGCAGUUGCGAACGGGUGAGUAACGCGUAGGUAACUACCUAUUAGAGGGGGAUAACUAUUGGAAACGAUAGCUAAUACCGCAUACUAGUAGAUGGACCUGCGUGGUAGUAGCUAGUAGGUAGGGUAAGGGCCUACCUAGGCAACGAUACAAAGCCGACCGUGGAAGGGGAUCGGCCACACUUGGACUGGGCCAAGGCCCAGACUCCUACGGGAGGCAGCAGUAGGGAAUCUUCGGCAAUGGGGGGAAACCUGGCCGAGCAACGCCGCGUGAGUGAAGAAGGUUUUCGGAUCGUAAAGCUCUGUUGUUAAGGAAGCGGUACUUAACCAGAAAGGGACGGCUAACUACGUGCCAGCCGCCGCGGUAAUUC